rnacentral:rRNA from 1 species
UACGUAGGGAGCAAGCGUUGUCCGGAAUCAUUGGGCGUAAAGCGCGCGUAGGCGGCCUCAUAAGUCCGUUGUGAAAGUCAAAGGCUCAACCUUUGAAAGCCGAUGGAUACUGUGAGGCUAGAGUCCGGAAGAGGCGAGUGGAAUUCCUGGUGUAGCGGUGGAAUGCGCAGAUAUCAGGAGGAACACCAAUAGCGAAGGCAGCUCGCUGGAACGGUACUGACGCUGAGGCGCGAAAGCGUGGGGAGCGAACAGG